AUUACCUUCUCCUGUCAAGACUCUCUACAAAGGAGAAUAAUUCCACAAAUAUUGAAAAUGUGACUUUCGUUUGUUUUUUGUCUAAAUUUGCGUGAUAUAUAUAUUAGAAUGGCGUCUAGCUUGUCGGAAACAGGGUCUGAAUCUGGGAGUGAUGAGGACCCACUACAGCAGUCUAGUGAUGCAGAACCACCUUUAAAAAAGCAGUGCACAACUUAUAGUCCUUAUGCCGAAAAGAUGAUGGCUAAGAUGGGCUACCAAGAAGGCAAAGGUUUAGGAAAGAGAGCUCAAGGUAGAAAGAUAUUUCGCUUGCCAUUCUUACAUUAAUGGUUUCCAGUUUUUAAU